GUGUAUAUAUGUAUAUACAUAUAUGUGUAUACAUGUAUAUACACAUAUAUGUAUAUACACGUAUAUACAUA
rnacentral:pre_miRNA from 13 species